rfam:Chelonia mydas contig63368, whole genome shotgun sequence.
CCAAAGGCUCUUUUAAGAGCCACCCACAAUUUCAGAAAGAGCUGG